AACGUAGGUUCCGAGCGUUAUCCGGAUUUACUGGGCGUAAAGCGCGUUCAGGCGGUUUGGCAAGUCGGGCAUGAAAUCUCUCGGCUCAACCGGGAGAGGUUGUCCGAUACUUCCAGACUUGAGGGCAGUAGAGGGUGGUGGAAUUCCGGGUGUAGUGGUGAAAUGCGUAGAUAUCCGGAGGAACACCAGUGGCGAAGGCGGGUCUCUGGACAGUUCCUGACACUGAGGCACGAAGGCCAGGGGAGCAAACGGG
rnacentral:rRNA from 1 species